GUGCUCACUUCAGCAGCAAGUGUACUAGAAUUGGCACAAUACCGGAAAAGAUUAACAUGGCCCCUGCACAAGAAUGACAUACAAAUUUGUGUUUUGUAUAAAAAGGGG
ensembl:snRNA U6 U6 spliceosomal RNA